AUGGACCUGAAAAUACUCUUUGUUGUUCUGAUUGGAAACCCAGGCGUCGGAAAGUCGAAUCUUCUGUCUCGUUUCACACGAAAUGAAUUCAACUUGAAAUCAAAACCGACAAUCGGAGUAGAAUUCGCAACGAAAAUCAUCUCGGUAGAAGGCAAGGCAGUGAAGGUGCAAAUUUGGGAUACGGCUGGAAUGGAACGUUUUCGUUGUGGUGCUUCUUCUUACUAUCGUGGAGCUCUCGGAGCUCUCCUAGUCUAUGACAUCUCUAAGCAUAAGACAUAUGAAAGUGUUGAGCAAUGGUUGAAGGUGCUUCGUGAUCACGCUAACGAGGAUAUUGUGAUUACGCUGGUUGGUAAUAAGAGCGACUUGAGUCAUGCAGUUCCAACAGACGAGGCCAAAAUCUACGCUGAAAGGAAUCACAUAUCGUUUAUUGAAACAUCUGCCCUCGACAACACCAACGUUGAAGCAGCUUUCACAAAUAUCGUAACGGAGAUCUACAAACUAGUAUCGGAAAAAUAUAAAGAUCACAGUGGUACGAUCAUUCCUUCGACAGCGUCCAAUACACCAAAGAACCAGUGUUGCUUUCCAUAA
rnacentral:misc_RNA from 1 species